GUUUGCUGGCUGUGCUGUAGGAGAAGUCAGUGCUGUGAGGAACUGCCUAUGAGAAAUUGCUGAGGAGGAGCAGCCUGAAAGGACAGGUAACAGCAUCCCGGAGUUAUCUUGACAUUUGAAGUUAUGUAUUGAGGAAUCGUACAGCUUGAUAGCAAGAUUGCAAUGGUACAGGCACCAGCUUUGGUUGUGGUCAGGGUAAAGAAUCAGUUAUCCACCUGGGAAAGCAAAUGUUGUGAAGUGAGCCAUGUGGAUCGAGAGAGGAAAAAAGACUGGGUAGUAUUUUCUGAGAAUGACAUAAAUUGUGUGUUAUUACAUCAUCAGAUGUCAAUGGGCAGAGCUGCUGAGUGUAAGAAAGUGAGGAUUUUCUGAGAGGUGAG